rnacentral:antisense_RNA from 1 species
CAAUGGUGGGCCUGGCAGGGGCAUCGAAAGAUGCGCCGGUAUCCGAUGAGGCCGGUAAGGCUAACCCUGUCAGGUUCCGCCACCC